ensembl:lncRNA
AGGAGAUGGAGAGAGUGGUCAGGAGAUGGAGAGAGUGGUGAGGAGAUGGAGAGAGUGGUGAGGAGAUGGAGAGAGUGGUCAGGUGAUGGAGAGAGUGGUGAGGAGAUGGAGAGAGUGAUCAGGAGAUGGAGAGAGUGGUGAGGAGAUGGAGAGAGUGGUCAGGAGAUGGAGAGAGUGGUGAGGAGAUGGAGAGAGUGGUGAGGAGAUGGAGAGAGUGGUGAGGAGAUGGAGAGAGUGGUCAGGAGAUGGAGAGAGUGGUGAGGAGAUGGAGAGAGUGGUCAGGAGAUGUAUGUUGUAUUGUGUCAGACAGAACCAGAGCCCCUGAUAUCAGCAGAGAAACAAGGAGAGAACAAUAAACAGUGCACAAACACCGUUAAUCAACUUUCCUCUUCCUCCGGCGUCACUGAAUGAGUUCUUCAUUUAAGAGAAAACACCAUCUCAGCUCCAAAUCUCUCUCUUAUUCACGCUUUCGCCUCAUUUAUGAGUACAAUUGUGGACGGACUGUUACUAAAACGCUGUUGCACAAAGCCCAAACGAUUCUUUUGUUCAGCUGUGGUGAGAUUCUGUAAAAGUCUUUAUGAGCUGCUAGAACAUUUCCACAAUUUGGACCGGUUCUCUAAAGUGAGUAAAGCGUGCAGUGCUCUCAUCUUCAUCCUGUGGUGUGAAGUGAUUUCCCAGGGAAAGUGGUUCAAUAAAGUUCUAACCUUUCAUUUUUAAAGCCCAGUUAAACUCUGAAUCAUCGAGUCAAAAGCAAAGGUCAGAACAUAAAACAGAACCCAGACAUAUCAUUUUGCUCUUUGGGUACUGAAAUGUGUAUGGAAGGAUUUCAGAAAAAAGUAGCCUUGGGGCGGUGAAAAUAAAACGCCUCACGAUCUAAAUAAACGAAUGAACUAAAUAAAUAAAGUAACGAUCUUCGGUUCUAAAUCUCACUGUAAAAAACGCUUCAAAAGAGGUUCUACAUGGAAAGAAACGAAGAUCCUGUCUGGGUUCCCAAGAGAACCAAACCGAUGAACUGUUUAGGAUGCUAACGUAAACUCAUAAGAAUAAAACGGUGAUUUUUAAAUGGUUCUUCAAUGAGUUUCUCUGGAGUUCUUAAAUUAGAACCCUCUCAAAUAAGAGGUGGUUGUAGGGUGAAUCCUUUUUGGGUCUCUGGAGGGAAAUAUAUAUAACUAUAUCUCUUUUUUUUCUUAAAGUCUAUCUUUCAAACAAGAGAAA